rnacentral:rRNA from 1 species
GACGAACGCUGGCGGCGUGCUUAAUACAUGCAAGUCGAGCGAGGUUACUGUUUUGGAUCCCUUCGGGGUGAAGAAGCUUUAACCUAGCGGCGGACGGGUGAGUAACGCGUGGGUAACCUACCCCAAAGUCCGGGAUAACAGCGGGAAACCGCUGCUAAUACCGGAUGUCUUUACCUUGGGGCAUCUUGAGGUAAAGAAAGGUAACGCUUUGGGAUGGGCCCGCGUCCCAUUAGCUAGUUGGUGAGGUAACGGCUCACCAAGGCGACGAUGGGUAGCCGGCCUGAGAGGGUGGACGGCCACACUGGGACUGAGACACGGCCCAGACUCCUACGGGAGGCAGCAGUAGGGAAUAUUGCGCAAAUGGACGGAAGUCUGACGCAGCGACGCCGCGUGAGCGAUGAAGGUCUUCGGAUCGUAAAAGCUCUGUCCUUGGGGAAGAAAGGUCUUCGGACUUGACGGUACCCAAGAAGAAAGCCCCGGCUAAACUACGUG